rnacentral:rRNA from 1 species
GAUGAACGCUGGCGGCGUGCCUAAUACAUGCAAGUCGAGCGAACGGACGAGAAGCUUGCUUCUCUGAUGUUAGCGGCGGACGGGUGAGUAACACGUGGAUAACCUACCUAUAAGACUGGGAUAACUUCGGGAAACCGGAGCUAAUACCGGAUAAUAUUUUGAACCGCAUGGUUCAAAAGUGAAAGACGGUCUUGCUGUCACUUAUAGAUGGAUCCGCGCUGCAUUAGCUAGUUGGUAAGGUAACGGCUUACCAAGGCAACGAUGCAUAGCCGACCUGAGAGGGGGGUCGGGCAACACUGGAACGGAGCAAGGGCCCAGACCCUAAGGGAGGGAGGAGUAGGGGAACUUUCGGCAUGGGGGGAAAGCUUGCGGGGGAAACGCGGGGUGAGUGAUGAAGGUCUCCGGUCCGUAAACCUCGGUUAUAGGGGAAGACAAUAGGGGUAGGUAAUGGUGCCAACUUUGCGGGAACUAAUCAAGAAAGCCACGGCUACCUCGUG